GAUGAACGCUGGCGGCGUGCCUAAUACAUGCAAGUCGAGCGAACAGACGAGGAGCUUGCUCCUCUGACGUUAGCGGCGGACGGGUGAGUAACACGUGGAUAACCUACCUAUAAGACUGGGAUAACUUCGGGAAACCGGAGCUAAUACCGGAUAAUAUAUUGAACCGCAUGGUUCAAUAGUGAAAGACGGUUUUGCUGUCACUUAUAGAUGGAUCCGCGCCGCAUUAGCUAGUUGGUAAGGUAACGGCUUACCAAGGCGACGAUGCGUAGCCGACCUGAGAGGGUGAUCGGCCACACUGGAACUGAGACACGGUCCAGACUCCUACGGGAGGCAGCAGUAGGGAAUCUUCCGCAAUGGGCGAAAGCCUGACGGAGCAACGCCGCGUGAGUGAUGAAGGUCUCGGAUCGUAAAACUCUGUUAUUAGGGAAGAACAAAUGUGUAAGUAACUAUGCACGUCUUGACGGUACCUAAUCAGAAAGCCACGGCUAACUACGUG
rnacentral:rRNA from 1 species